GACGAACGCUGGCGGCGUGCCUAAUACAUGCAAGUAGAACGCUGAAGGAGGAGCUUGCUUCUCCGGAUGAGUUGCGAACGGGUGAGUAACGCGUAGGUAACCUGCCUGGUAGCGGGGGAUAACUAUUGGAAACGAUAGCUAAUACCGCAUAAUAGUAGAUGUUACAUGACAUUUGCUUAAAAGGUGCAAUUGCAUCACUACCAGAUGGACCUGCGUUGUAUUAGCUAGUUGGUGGGGUAACGGCUCACCAAGGCGACGAUACAUAGCCGACCUGAGAGGGCGAUCGGCCACACUGGGACUGAGACACGGCCCAGACUCCUACGGGAGGCAGCAGUAGGGAAUCUUCGGCAAUGGACGGAAGUCUGACCGAGCAACGCCGCGUGAGUGAAGAAGGUUUUCGGAUCGUAAAGCUCUGUUGUAAGAGAAGAACGAGUGUGAGAGUGGAAAGUUCACACUGUGACGGUAUCUUACCAGAAAGGGACGGCUAACUACGUGCCAGCAGCCGCGGUAAUACGUAGGGUGCGAGCGUUAAUCGGAAUUACUGGGCGUAAAGCGAGCGCAGACGGUUACUUAAGCAGGAUGUGAAAUCCCCGGGCUCAACCUGGGAACUGCGUUCUGAACUGGGUGACUAGAGUGUGUCAGAGGGAGGUAGAAUUCCACGUGUAGCAGUGAAAUGCGUAGAGAUGUGGAGGAAUACCGAUGGCGAAGGCAGCCUCCUGGGAUAACACUGACGUUCAUGCUCGAAAGCGUGGGUAGCAAACAGGAUUAGAUACCCUGGUAGUCCACGCCCUAAACGAUGUCAAUUAGCUGUUGGGCAACUUGAUUGCUUAGUAGCGUAGCUAACGCGUGAAAUUGACCGCCUGGGGAGUACGGUCGCAAGAUUAAAACUCAAAGGAAUUGACGGGGACCCGCACAAGCGGUGGAUGAUGUGGAUUAAUUCGAUGCAACGCGAAGAACCUUACCUGGUCUUGACAUGUACGGAAUCCUCCAGAGACGGAGGAGUGCCUUCGGGAGCCGUAACACAGGUGCUGCAUGGCUGUCGUCAGCUCGUGUCGUGAGAUGUUGGGUUAAGUCCCGCAACGAGCGCAACCCUUGUCAUUAGUUGCCAUCAUUUAGUUGGGCACUCUAAUGAGACUGCCGGUGACAAGCCGGAGGAAGGUGGGGAUGACGUCAAGUCCUCAUGGCCCUUAUGACCAGGGCUUCACACGUCAUACAAUGGUCGGUACAGAGGGUAGCCAAGCCGCGAGGUGGAGCCAAUCUCAUAAAACCGAUCGUAGUCCGGAUUGCACUCUGCAACUCGAGUGCAUGAAGUCGGAAUCGCUAGUAAUCGCAGGUCAGCAUACUGCGGUGAAUACGUUCCCGGGUCU
rnacentral:rRNA from 1 species